GACGAACGCUGGCGGCGUGCUUAACACAUGCAAGUCGAGCGGUAACGCUCCUUCGGGUUUACACGAGGGGCGGCCGGGGGCGUAAGACUUGAGUAAUCUGCCCUUCCCUUUGGGAUGAGCACCGGAAACGGUGGCUAAUACCGAUAACGCCCCAUCUUCGCAACGGGUGCUGGUGGAAGGUCUUUUCGCUGUGGGCUGUGCUCGCGGCCUAUCAGCUUUUUGGUGGGUUAAGGGCAUACCAAGGCCUCGACGGGUAGCCGGUCUCAGAGGGUGAGCGGCGAGACCGGGACCGAGACACGGCCGAGAGUCCUACGGGGGGAAGCAGUGGGGAAGAUUGGACAAUGGGCGAAAGCCUGAUCCAGCAACGCCGAGGGAGGGAGGGCGGCAUUGGCGUUGUAAAGCGAUGGCAGUACCGACGAAGCGCCCUGUCGGGUGGUGACGGUAGCUACAGAAGAAGGACCGGCUAACUACGUG
rnacentral:rRNA from 1 species